rnacentral:rRNA from 1 species
UUCGCCCUUUUCCGGUUGAUCCUGCCGGACCUGACUGCUAUCGGAUUGAUACUAAGCCAUGCGAGUCAUUGUAGCAAUACAAGGCAUACGGCUCAGUAACGCGUAGUCAACCUACCCUAUGGACGGGGAUAACCUCGGGAAACUGAGAAUAAUACCCGAUAGAACAUUAUUCCUGGAAUGGUUUAUGUUUCAAAUAAUUUAUUGCCGUAGGAUGGGACUGCGGCCUAUCAGUUUGUUGGUGAGGUAAUGGCCCACCAAGACUAUUACAGGUACGGGCUCUGAGAGGAGUAGCCCGGAGAUGGGUACUGAGACACGGACCCAGGCCCUAUGGGGCGCAGCAGGCGAGAAAACUUUGCAAUGUGCGAAAGCACGACAAGGUUAAUCCGAGUGGUUUCUGCUAAAGGAACCUUUUGACAGUCAUAGAACCACUGUUGAAUAAGGGGUGGGCAAGUUCUGGUGCCAGCCGCCGCGGUAAAACCAGCACCUCAAGUGGUCAGGAUGAUUAUUGGGCCUAAAGCAUCCGUAGCCUGCUUUGUCAGUUUUCGGUUAAAUCCAUACGCUCAACGUAUGGGCUGCCGGGAAUACUGCACAGCUAGGGAGUGGGAGAGGUAGACGGUACUCGGUAGGAAGGGGUAAAAUCCUUUGAUCUAUUGAUGACCACCUGUGGCGAAGGCGGUCUACCAGAACACGUCCGACGGUGAGGGAUGAAAGCUGGGGGA